rnacentral:lncRNA from 1 species
GAACGUUGGUGAUGAAUGACAAUGAACAUGCUGAACUAGCAUAAGACAGAAGUGGGAAAAUGGAUCAACAGAAGGGGAGAAGUUCCUGGCAGAUUGACAACCCCACGGCCAAUUCACAGAGGAAAGUUCCUGAACAUUCUACAAGGCACGGUCAAAUUGAACACAAUCUGAAACUGUAAAUUCAUAUACAGAUUUAAAGGACUGUGAUAGAAGCACGCAGAAGACAGUGCACCCUUCUGAUGUGGUUCCUCUUUCUAUGUGGAGUGUGACUGAGCUGGUGGGAAAAGUGCGGAUUAUAGCAUGUUACAGGCGAAGCGUGCAUGUGGCACAGCAAAGGAAGGACUAACAGCACAGCUGGACAGAACAGAGACGCUGUCUUACAGAACACUUGUUUUACUCAUGUGUUUAUGCUACAACUGAUUACCUGCAGCCUAUUCAAAAAUCAACAAACGCAAUGAUAUUCCAGAAACCUUACAAAGACAAAAAUAAAAACAAAAUACGGGGCGGUGGGGAGGGAAUAGAUGAGAUGGAAAUAAAGAAAAAAACCUACAGCUCAAAAACUCAGGAAUGGCAACCCUGAUGAAAGAGAGGAAGUACAGGGUGUGGACCUACAGCCAGGAAAGCAGAGUCAAGCCUAGGGAAGCCGUGGGAUGCCCGCAGACCUGCCUUCUUCAUCUGAACAAGGACAGGCUGCAGCCUAGGGAAGCCGUGGGAUGCCCGCAGACCUGCCUUCUUCAUCUGAACAAGGACAGGCUGCACUGGAAACUUUCCAGUUCCUCUACUCCAGCAUCUUCAGUCAGCAAAACCUACCGCAGACAGCACAGAGGAGAAACAAAGGCACUCACGGGAAAUACUGGAGGUUUUAGGGGAGAAAAUAAUGAGCCUGGGAACAAGUCAAUUAUCCAAAGCUAUCUUUGCUUUGACUGAACUCUAAAGAAUCAUAAAAUACCUUUUCCUAGUCUAUCUUGGUAUGCUGAGUGUCAGGCAUGCCUACAGUUACACACUGAGAGCAGAGGAAGGACGUUCCUUCCUGAAGAGGAAAUGGUGGCCAAAGACAGGCCACUCAAAAGCAGCUUGUAGCACACAAGACGGCACGGUAGGCACAGUGCUAGCCCGGGGUACUCCUGGCCAGUGGCUGCUCAAAAUCUCCUGACUGGCACCUUUGUUGAUGCACAUAGGGAGGCGACAAAAUGUGGCAGACAGAGCAAGCAGAAACAGACACUGAGAAGGACAAGAGAGGUUAAGGCCAAGGAUGAGAGUGGGAAGCUGUUUAACAGUGGCAGAAAUAGAAACAACCAAAUCAGGGGGAAGCCCAGAAGCUGAGCAGACUAAUGAAAGUCACCGGUGAGCGAUCACAGGCCUCCCUCCUGCAAAGCAGCCUAUUAACUCUUACAGGGGCCCCAAACUCCAGCUAAACUGCUGAACUUCGAGCACUUGCUGGACCACCUGGCCACCUCAUGUCAGCCUCCCUCAGUCAGGGUAAUUGCAACCUGAGUUUCCUCCUUGAAUUGUAAACAGCUUAAUGUGAACCUUAAAUUUAAAUAUCAUUACUCACCUCCUUCAGGAUCCUUUCAUUAAAAAACUGUUGGAGUUUCUCAUUGCAA